CCCCACCCAGGAACCCCAGGUGUGUGUACAAUUCCUGUGAGUGCCUCCAUCUGGAAAUGUGAGACCAUGCUUCUUCUCUAUAUCUCAGGAUGGCAGCUGUAAGGUUACUGCUUCUGACUGAUCACAGCAGCUACAUGGAUUAAACAGUAAAAUCACCAAAUCAGACUACUUGAAUAAAAGCUGAAUUUCCAUCCCGUGAAGCCAGAAUGCAUCCUGCAAAGCUCUUCACUGACAAUGCAGCUCAGUCAGGUUAUAUAAUUGGCACCCUCAUAAGCUUUUAAUCUUUGGCAGAGUGGUACUCGAACAGAGUGAAGUUCUCUCCUACCCUUGAAAAUAUCAAUGAAACUCAGAGAGUGCUUACUGCUGAAUGUCCCAUGAUCACAAGAAGCCAAGGGCACACUGCCUUAGCACCAACGAGAAAAGAGCUUUUGGAAAGUCAAUCUCCUUCCUCCUAAAA